rnacentral:rRNA from 1 species
GACGAACGCUGGCGGCGCGCUUAACACAUGCAAGUCGAACGGAAAGGCCUGCUUUCCCUUGUGGAUUGCGGGUACUCGAGUGGCGAACGGGUGAGUAACACGUGAGUGAUCUGCCCCCAACUUGGGUAUAAGCCUGGGAAACUGGGUCUAAUUCCCGAUAGGACUGCAGGGUGGUGCCUGUGGUGGAAAACGAUUUUCUAGUGGUUGGGGAUGAGCUCGCGGCCUAUCAGCUUGUUGGUGGGGUAAUGGCCUACCAAGGCGGCGACGGGUAGCCGGCCUGGGAGGGUGGACGGCCACAUUGGGACUGAGAUACGGCCCAGACUCCUACGGGAGGCAGCAGUGGGGAAUAUUGCACAAUGGGCGGAGGCCUGAUGCAGCGACGCCGCGUGGGGGAUGACGGCCUUCGGGUUGUAAACUCCUUUCGACCGCGAGGAAGCCACCUGGUUGGAAGGGUGGUGACGGUAGUGGUAGAAGAAGCACCGGCUAACUACGUG